rnacentral:rRNA from 1 species
CCUACGGGAGGCAGCAGUGAGGAAUAUUGGUCAAUGGACGAGAGUCUGAACCAGCCAAGUAGCGUGAAGGAUGACUGCCCUAUGGGUUGUAAACUUCUUUUAUAAAGGAAUAAAACGAGGCACGUGUGCCUUUUUGCAUGUACUUUAUGAAUAAGGAUCGGCUAAAUCCGUGCUAGCAGCCGCGGUAAUACGGAGGAUCCGAGCGGUAUCCGGUUUUAUUGGGUUUAAAGGUGGCGUGACUGGGUUGUUAAGUCAGUUGUGAAAGUUGUGGGCUCAACCGUCAAAUUGCAAUUGAUACUGGCAGUCUUGAGUAUAGUUGAGGUAGGCGGAAUGCGUGGUGUAGCGGUGAAAUGCUUAGAUAUCACGAAGAACCCCGAUUGCGAAGGCAGCUUACUAAACUGUGACUGACAUUGAGGCUCGAAAGUGUGGGUAUCAAACAGGAUUAGAUACCCUAGUAGUC